UUUUUCCAGGCUCUCUCUGCCAGUUGCAUAGAUGCCUUAGAGAUGGGGCAGAAAGACCUGGGUCUCUGACCACUAAAGAUUGAGUUGAUCAAGACCAUUGUGGUGGUGUUGGAGAGCCUACCAUUGACCUCCGUGCCUUCUCCUGUGCUGUCUUGUGCCAUGCUAGCACUCUACCAUCUCAGGACUUCUACAUCUCCUCAUGCUCAACACUUGAGCUUCUGCUGAAGGGUUUUCUCAUGGAGGAUGGAACUGUAGACCAUCUGCUCUGCCU